rnacentral:rRNA from 1 species
CUAACAAGGAUUCCCCUAGUAACGGCGAGUGAAGCGGGAAGAGCUCAAAUUUAAAAUCUGGCGUCUCCGACGUCCGAGUUGUAAGCUAUAGAGGUGUUUUCGGUGGUCGGCCGGGUAUAAGUCCUUUGGAACAGGGCAUCGUAGAGGGUGAGAAUCCCGUCUUUGAUCCGGACCCGUUCACUAUGUGAUACACCUUCAAAGAGUCGGUUUGUUUGGGAAUGCAGACCAAAAUGGGUGGUAAAUUCCAUCUAAAGCUAAAUACAGGCGAGAGACCGAUAGCGAACAAGUACCGUGAGGGAAAGAUGAAAAGAACUUUGAAAAGAGAGUUAAAAAGUACGUGAAAUUGUUGAAAGGGAACCGUUU